UACGAAGGGUGCAAGCGUUGUUCGGAAUCACUGGGCGUAAAGAAUGCGUAGGCGGCUUAACAAGUCAGGAGUGAAAUCCCAGGGCUCAACCCUGGAACUGCUUUUGAAACUGUUUUGCUAGAGUCCCGGAGGGGUUAGCGGAAUUCCGAGUGUAGAGGUGAAAUUCGCAGAUAUUCGGAGGAACACCAGUGGCGAAGGCGGCUAACUGGACGGGAACUGACGCUGAGGCAUGAAAGUGUGGGGAUCAAACAGG
rnacentral:rRNA from 1 species